AUUGAACGCUGGCGGCAUGCUUUACACAUGCAAGUCGAACGGCAGCGCGGGGCAACCUGGCGGCGAGUGGCGAACGGGUGAGUAAUAUAUCGGAACGUACCCAAGAGUGGGGGAUAACGUAGCGAAAGUUACGCUAAUACCGCAUACGAUCCAAGGAUGAAAGUGGGGGAUUCGCAAGAACCUCAUGCUCCUGGAGCGGCCGAUAUCUGAUUAGCUAGUUGGUAGGGUAAAGGCCUACCAAGGCUACGAUCAGUAGCUGGUCUGAGAGGACGACCAGCCACACUGGAACUGAGACACGGUCCAGACUCCUACGGGAGGCAGCAGUGGGGAAUUUUGGACAAUGGGCGCAAGCCUGAUCCAGCAAUGCCGCGUGAGUGAAGAAGGCCUUCGGGUUGUAAAGCUCUUUUGUCAGGGAAGAAACGGCUGAGGAUAAUACCCUUGGCUAAUGACGGUACCUGAAGAAUAAGCACCGGCUAACUACGUGCCAGCAGCCGCGGUAAUACGUAGGGUGCAAGCGUUAAUCGGAAUUAUUGGGCGUAAAGCGUGCGCAGGCGGUUUUGUAAGUUUGUCGUGAAAGCCCCGGGCUCAACCUGGGAAUUGCGAUGAAGACUGCAAGGCUUGAAUCUGGCAGAGGGGGGUAGAAUUCCACGUGUAGCAGUGAAAUGCGUAGAGAUGUGGAGGAACACCGAUGGCGAAGGCAGCCCCCUGGGUCAAGAUUGACGCUCAUGCACGAAAGCGUGGGGAGCAAACAGGAUUAGAUACCCUGGUAGUCCACGCCCUAAACGAUGUCUACUAGUUGUCGGGUUUUAAUUAACUUGGUAACGCAGCUAACGCGUGAAGUAGACCGCCUGGGGAGCACGGUCGCAAGAUUAAAACUCAAAGGAAUUGACGGGGACCCGCACAAGCGGUGGAUGAUGUGGAUUAAUUCGAUGCAACGCGAAAAACCUUACCUACCCUUGACAUGUACGGAAGCCACGAGAGAUCGAGGCGUGCUCGAAAGAGAGCCGUAACACAGGUGCUGCAUGGCUGUCGUCAGCUCGUGUCGUGAGAUGUUGGGUUAAGUCCCGCAACGAGCGCAACCCUUGUCAUUAGUUGCUACGUUUAGUUGAGCACUCUAAUGAGACUGCCGGUGACAAACCGGAGGAAGGUGGGGAUGACGUCAAGUCCUCAUGGCCCUUAUGGGUAGGGCUUCACACGUCAUACAAUGGUACAUACAGAGGGCCGCCAACCCGCGAGGGGGAGCUAAUCCCAGAAAGUGUAUCGUAGUCCGGAUUGUAGUCUGCAACUCGACUACAUGAAGUUGGAAUCGCUAGUAAUCGCGGAUCAGCAUGUCGCGGUGAAUACGUUCCCGGGUCU
rnacentral:rRNA from 1 species